rnacentral:rRNA from 1 species
GUCCAUACCGUAAACGAUGAAUGCUAAGUGUUGGAGGGUUUCCGCCCUUCAGUGCUGCAGCUAACGCAUUAAGCAUUCCGCCUGGGGAGUACGACCGCAAGGUUGAAACUCAAAGGAAUUGACGGGGGCCCGCACAAGCGGUGGAGCAUGUGGUUUAAUUCGAAGCAACGCGAAGAACCUUACCAGGUCUUGACAUCCUUUGACCACUGUAGAGAUACAGCUUUCCUUCGGGGACAAAGUGACAGGUGGUGCAUGGUUGUCGU